GCUUCAUUAGCUCAGUUGGUUAGAGCAUAACAUUAGUAAUGUUAAGGUCGUGCGUUCGAAUCGCAUAUGAAGCU
rnacentral:tRNA from 1 species